GUUUUAAUAGUUUAAAUAAAACAUAAGUUUUGUAAACUUAAAUUAAGAUUUUUCUUUUAAAACU
rnacentral:tRNA from 1 species